rnacentral:tRNA from 1 species
UCCCUGGUGGCUCAGAUGGUAAAGAAUCUGCCUGCAAUGCAGGAGACCUGGGUUCAAUCCCAGGAUGGGAA